rnacentral:rRNA from 1 species
UAGGAGCGGUGCCGCGGAUAUUUUGGGAUGGAGGGUUCCGACGGUGUAUGUCGUCUCGUGUUUCGUUGAUCGUUCUGUUUUUGUGUUCGAUCGGCAUCAUCAUUCUCGUUCAUCGGUCCUCGGGUUCGUUCGUUCGUCGGUACAGGUAGCAGUUCGCACGAAACCCGAAGCCACCGCCGAUGCCGGUCUCGGUCUCGUUCGGGCACUAUUCGAUGGUGUGGGUCUUGAGGCUGAGGCACUGGUGGCAGCACUGCCUCUAGUCGGUGUACUCGGAGUUGCCAUUCGUCCGGCGCAUGUUGCCCUCGCUGCAGCCUCCGAAGCUGCGGGAGCAGACACUGUUGCGGCGCGUCUUCGUGCCGCCGAUGUCGCUCGUCUUCCGCAGCAGCAUGGUCGUACUCUCGCCGCGGCCUCCCAUGUCGCGAGUGGUGGUGCUUUCGAGGCACGUCUUCGUGCCACCGAUGCCGCCCGUCUUCUGCAGCAGCAUAGUCGUACCUCCGAUGCUGCGACGGUCGGUGCUGUCGUGGCCGCGUUGCGUCUUCAUACGGAUGCCACUCGUCUUCCGAAUGGUCGUAAUACCCCGACUCCGGGUGGUACUGUCGAGCCGCGUCUUCGUACCGAUACCGCUCGUCUUCCGCAUGCCACCAGUGGUGGUCCUGUCGUUCCAGGUCUUCUCGCCGAUGCCGCCGCUCGUAUGCCGCAUGGUCGUACUUCCGUUAGAGUUCCCCAUGUGGCGAGAGGUAGUCCUGUCGUUCCAGGUCUUCGUGCCGAUGCCGCCGCUCGUCUUCCGCAUGCAGCUGUCGUGCCAGGUCUUCGUGCCGAUGCCGCCGCUCGUCUUCCGCAUGCAGCUGUCGUGCCAGGUCUUCGUGCCGAUGUUGCUCGUGUUCCGCAUGCUCGUACCCUCGCGGCGGCGGCGGGAGGUGGUGCUGUCGAUGCCGCAGCACUUCUUCGUGCUGAUGCCUCCGCUCGUCAUGGUCGUACCGCGACGUCGCCCUCCUAUGCUGCCGCAGGUGGUGCUGUCGAGCCACGUCUUCGUGCCGAUGCCCCUCUUCCGUAUGGUCGUGCCCUCGCUGCGGCCUCCCAUGCCGCCACAGGUGGUGCCGUCGCGCUGCGUCUUCGUGCCGAUGCCGCGACCCGUUUUCCGAAUGCGCGUGCUACGACUACGGCCUCCUAUGCUGCGACGAAAGGUGGUGCCGCCGCGCUUCGUCUGCUUCGUGCCGAUGCCGCCGGCCGUCUACCGAAUGGUCGUGCCACGGCUGCGGCCUCCCAUGCCUCCCAUGUGGUCAUUGUGGUGAAAGAUGGUGCCGCCACACCGCGUCUUGCGCAGCAUGGUCGUUCCCACGCGGUGGCCGCAGCGGCCCAUGCUGUGCGAGCAGGUCUUCGUCGUGCCCCGGAGGCCGCCGGACGUUUUACGCAUGGGCGUCGUUCCCACGCCGCAGCCGCCGCAGCGUCCCAUACUACGAGAAUGGGUUGCGGCACUCUCUCUCUUCGUCGCCAAGUUGGUGCCCACACUCUCACUGCUUCUCUCGCUCCUCCUCUCGCUGACGCUUCUCCUCCACCACCCGGAACGCCGCGGGCCGCCGUGCGUCAUGAUGCGCCGCAUGCUCGCGGUGGUCGUCGAGCCGCCGCCGCCGAUACCGCCGCCCACGCGUGUCGGGUUCUUAGUGUCGAUGAUGACUCGAGGACGCACCACGGGUGGAGGCUGAUGGUCGCACUAUGUUAGGAUGGAUGUCACUAUGAAUAGACGAGUACGAGGACGUACACACAUACGUACGGUCAUAAACCACCUGGAAACGUAACGUUUUCACAGAUUUAUUCUACAUAAAGGUUGAGUAUAGGACGUAGGUGGUAUUCACCGUAGCCAUGUUAUUAAAUGAAAUGUGUUCAAACUAAUAAUCGUACGCGGAGUGAAACGUUGUACGAGAACUACCAGCAGC